UUACACAAGAUUUUAUUGGAAUAUUAUAUGCUUCUAAAAGGUUACAAUCGUGUAUGGCCAUAAGUUCACAUUUAUUACGAUUAAUAUCCUAUACAUUGCAC